rnacentral:rRNA from 1 species
CCUACGGGAGGCAGCAGUGGGGGAUAUUGCACAAUGGGGGAAACCCUGAUGCAGCGACGCCGCGUGGGUGAAGAAGCGCCUCGGCGCGUAAAGCCCUGUCAGCAGGGACGAAAAUGACGGUACCUGAAGAAGAAGCCCCGGCUAACUACGGGCCAGCAGCCGCGGUAAUACGGAGGGGGCAAGCGUUAUCCGGAUUUACUGGGUGUAAAGGGGGCGCAGACGGCGAUGCAAGCCAGGAGUGAAAGCCCGGGGCCCAACCCCGGGAGUGCUCUUGGAAAUGCGUGGCUAGAGUGCAGGAGGGGCAGGCGGAAUUCCUGGUGUAGCGGUGAAAUGCGUAGAUAUCAGGAGGAACACCGGUGGCGAAGGCGGCCUGCUGGACUGCAACUGACGUUGAGGCCCGAAAGCGUGGGGAGCAAACAGGAUUAGAUACCCUUGUAGUC